GACGAACGCUGGCGGCGUGCCUAAUACAUGCAAGUCGAGCGCAGGAAACUGACGGAACUCUUCGGAGGGAAGGCAGUGGAAUGAGCGGCGGACGGGUGAGUAACACGUAAGGAACCUGCCUCAAGGAUUGGGAUAACUCCGAGAAAUCGGAGCUAAUACCGGAUAGUUCAACGGACCGCAUGGUCCGCUGAUGAAAGGCGCUUCGGCGUCACCUUGAGAUGGCCUUGCGGUGCAUUAGCUAGUUGGUGGGGUAACGGCCCACCAAGGCGACGAUGCAUAGCCGAACUGAGAGGGUGAUCGGCCACACUGGGACUGAGACACGGCCCAGACUCCUACGGGAGGCAGCAGUAGGGAAUCUUCCACAAUGGACGAAAGUCUGAUGGAGCAACGCCGCGUGAGUGAUGAAGGUUUUCGGAUCGUAAAACUCUGUUGUAAGGGAAGAACACGUACGAGAGGGAAUGCUCGUACCUUGACGGUACCUUACGAGAAAGCCACGGCUAACUACGUGCCAGCCGCCGCCGUAA
rnacentral:rRNA from 1 species